UACGAAGGGGGCUAGCGUUGUUCGGAAUUACUGGGCGUAAAGCGCACGUAGGCGGAUUUGUUAGUCAGGGGUGAAAUCCCGGGGCUCAACCUCGGAACUGCCUUUGAUACUGCAAGUCUCGAGUCCGAUAGAGGUGGGUGGAAUUCCUAGUGUAGAGGUGAAAUUCGGUAGAUAUUAGGAAGAACACCGGUGGCGAAGGCGGCCCACUGGAUCGGUACUGACGCUGAGGUGCGAAAGCGUGGGGAGCAAACAGG
rnacentral:rRNA from 1 species